GCCCCGUGAUGAGAACAAGGCAAAUACGAGCUGAUUGGCUGGGAUCUUGUGUUCUCUUGCUCUCUGACUGGUGGGUAAUCUUGGCAGAGCAGUGGAGAUUGGCUGCGCUGCUGUAAGGGCCCACCCAUAUUGAUGCUGGCUGUCAAGCAUAAUACAAUUCUCCUUUAGAAAUGGACAUUUGUGGAUGAUUUGGCAGCUUACAGUGUGUGUGUGUGUGUGUGUGUGUGUGUUUGAGUAUGUCCCGAGUGUGUGUGUGUGUGUAAAUGUGUCAGUCAGCAAAGAGUCACAUCUCCUAAAAUGGGCCCACCAGCUGUGAAUGUUUUCUUUGGUAAUCUGAGGGCA
rnacentral:snoRNA from 1 species